GACGAACGCUGGCGGCGUGCUUAACACAUGCAAGUCGAUCGGAAAGGCCCUGCUUUUGUGGGGUGCUCGAGUGGCGAACGGGUGAGUAACACGUGAGUAACCUGCCCUUGACUUUGGGAUAACUUCAGGAAACUGGGGCUAAUACCGGAUAGGAGCUCCUGCUGCAUGGUGGGGGUUGGAAAGUUUCGGCGGUUGGGGAUGGACUCGCGGCUUAUCAGCUUGUUGGUGGGGUAGUGGCUUACCAAGGCUUUGACGGGUAGCCGGCCUGAGAGGGUGACCGGCCACAUUGGGACUGAGAUACGGCCCAGACUCGUACGGGAGGCAGCAGUGGGGUAUAUUGCACAAUGGGCGGAAGCCUGAUGCGGCAACGCCGCGUGCGGGAUGACGGCCUUCGGGUUGUAAACCGCUUUCGCCUGUGACGAAGCGUGAGUGACGGUAAUGGGUAAAGAAGCACCGGCUAACUACGUG
rnacentral:rRNA from 1 species